rnacentral:lncRNA from 1 species
AAGUUCAAUAAGAAUCUGUUCUUCUUAUAACAGCACAGAAUUGGAAACACUGGUUAUAUUACCAAGGCUUUGACUGGAAUGUCAUAUCUGAGAGAAACAUACAGACUCGGACAUAACAAGACAGCUUUUGAGGAACAAAGGUUAACUCUCUGAAAUAAAGCCACUUGGAAAUAUUGGCCUGGUACCUUCAUUAUGAAUUCCCAGUAACCUGUUUCACUUGAAAUCAUUAAAAACUGAAUCUUCCCUUUUUCCUGAAGCCUUACAAACUGGAGCUGGACAACUUGAUAUAAACUUAAGAGUGAUUCAUGUCUACCGCUGUGUAAGCCACUCAGAAAGAUACCUGAGUGCCCGAUGACACUAUCAGAGACAUUCAAACUACAGAAGAUGCUUUGACCCUGACUUCUGGGAAUCUUGAUUGGCUGCCCCUGGGCUCAGGAGCUAGUUUAUAAUUUACUCCAACCAUUAACCUUGUUUUUUCUUUUUGUUUCUCUAUGCUUCUUAUUAAAUACCUGGUUACUUACUUACAUGAUACAGGCCUAACUUUGAGAGCCCAUCUACCUCACUGCCUUAUUAAAAGACUUCUUCAACAAGAUGGAACAACCUAUGCCCUGAUUCAGCAGGAAGUAGCUGGAUCAGUCAUCACCCGAAAUCCCUCAAGAUUGAGGAACAAACAUAAAAUGGGGGUGGAUUCAUGAUGGCCCUGAUAUCAUUUUGCC